UUCACAUGGUUCCUGUGUUCUACUGGGGAACCUAACUUUAAUUUCAUGCCUCUUUUCCUAGAGAAGCUCAGCACAGCUGGUGCACCAUCUCAACUCUUGCUUUCAACCCCCAGGUUCCAGCAGGUCUGACUCCCAGCUCAGCACAUCUCCUGGCUGCUCCUCCUGGAAAUGGGCUCUGGCCACCAGCAGCAGCAGGGGAACUUGUCUGUGCCCAGCUGUCACUCAGGCUGCUGCCUCUUAUUCGUCUCUUGCUCGUCCAUUCAUCUUGUGUGAACAGAAAAUUCUCCAUCGCUCUGCUCCGUUCUGUUUGCAAGCAAGGCAAAUUUUUCUAUUUUAUUCUUUUGUUUGUUGGUUUGUUGCUGUUACGUUCAAGUGAUGCCCUCCUCCCCAGAGCUGGAUCAGCCCAGAACUGUUUCACACUCCUGCACUUCUCUGUUUAACGCACUAUACUGCACUUGGUGAAUUACCAGAUUUUAUGCUUUCCAGAGUAUUUAGGGCCCCGAUGUCCCGAUCCUCUGGGCUAUGGAUGCUGUGGCCGUGGAAGUGAGACAGAGUAACUGAAGAUGGAGGAGCGUUUCAUGAGAGCAAACUGAUCAAUUGUGUACCUGCAGCUUGUCUCUCCAGCUCACAACCUUUCACGAAUAAUGGAAGGAGACAAAGCUGCUGUGGGCGCCAUCCUGCUCGAACUGCAGGGGACUUGUUUGCACGGUGCUCUGCUUACUGAUGCCCUAGCACCAGGAGAAC